rnacentral:rRNA from 1 species
GGUUAAGCGACUAAGCGUACACGGUGGAUGCCCUGGCAGUCAGAGGCGAUGAAGGGCGUGCUAAUCUGCGAUAAGCGCCGGUAAGGUGAUAUGAACCGUUAUAACCGGCGAUACCCGAAUGGGGAAACCCAGUGUGACUCGUCACACUAUCAUUAACUGAAUCCAUAGGUUAAUGAGGCGAACCGGGGGAACUGAAACAUCUAAGUACCCCGAGGAAAAGAAAUCAACCGAGAUUCCCCCAGUAGCGGCGAGCGAACGGGGAGGAGCCCAGAGCCUGAAUCAGCAUGUGUGUUAGUGGAAGCGUCUGGAAAGGCGCGCGAUACAGGGUGACAGCCCCGUACACAAAAGCGCAUGUGCUGUGAGCUCGAUGAGUAGGGCGGGACACGUGGUAUCCUGUCUGAAUAUGGGGGGACCAUCCUCCAAGGCUAAAUACUCCUGACUGACCGAUAGUGAACCAGUACCGUGAGGGAAAGGCGAAAAGAACCCCGGCGAGGGGAGUGAAAAAGAACCUGAAACCGUGUACGUACAAGCAGUGGGAGCACAGGUUUACCUGUGUGACUGCGUACCUUUUGUAUAAUGGGUCAGCGACUUAUAUUCUGUAGCAAGGUUAACCGAAUAGGGGAGCCGCAGGGAAACCGAGUCUUAAUUGGGCGUUAAGUUGCAGGGUAUAGACCCGAAACCCGGUGAUCUAGCCAUGGGCAGGUUGAAGGUUGGGUAACACUAACUGGAGGACCGAACCGACUAAUGUUGAAAAAUUAGCGGAUGACCUGUGGCUGGGGGUGAAAGGCCAAUCAAACCGGGAGAUAGCUGGUUCUCCCCGAAAGCUAUUUAGGUAGCGCCUCGUGAAUUCAUCUCCGGGGGUAGAGCACUGUUUCGGCUAGGGGGCCAUCCCGGCUUACCAACCCGAUGCAAACUGCGAAUACCGGAGAAUGUUAUCACGGGAGACACACGGCGGGUGCUAACGUCCGUCGUGAAGAGGGAAACAACCCAGACCGCCAGCUAAGGUCCCAAAGUCAUGGUUAAGUGGGAAACGAUGUGGGAAGGCCCAGACAGCCAGGAUGUUGGCUUAGAAGCAGCCAUCAUUUAAAGAAAGCGUAAUAGCUCACUGGUCGAGUCGGCCUGCGCGGAAGAUGUAACGGGGCUAAACCAUGCACCGAAGCUGCGGCAGCGACGCUGAUGCGUUGUUGGGUAGGGGAGCGUUCUGUAAGCCUGUGAAGGUGUGUCGUGAGGCAUGCUGGAGGUAUCAGAAGUGCGAAUGCUGACAUAAGUAACGAUAAAGCGGGUGAAAAGCCCGCUCGCCGGAAGACCAAGGGUUCCUGUCCAACGUUAAUCGGGGCAGGGUGAGUCGACCCCUAAGGCGAGGCCGAAAGGCGUAGUCGAUGGGAAACGGGUUAAUAUUCCCGUACUUGGUGUUACUGCGAAGGGGGGACGGAGAAGGCUAUGUUGGCCGGGCGACGGUUGUCCCGGUUUAAGCGUGUAGGUGUGUGUUCCAGGUAAAUCCGGUUCACUUUAACACUGAGGCGUGACGACGAGGCACUACGGUGCUGAAGCAACAAAUGCCCUGCUUCCAGGAAAAGCCUCUAAGCAUCAGGUAACAUCAAAUCGUACCCCAAACCGACACAGGUGGUCAGGUAGAGAAUACCAAGGCGCUUGAGAGAACUCGGGUGAAGGAACUAGGCAAAAUGGUGCCGUAACUUCGGGAGAAGGCACGCUGACACGUAGGUGAAGUGAUUUACUCAUGGAGCUGAAGUCAGUCGAAGAUACCAGCUGGCUGCAACUGUUUAUUAAAAACACAGCACUGUGCAAACACGAAAGUGGACGUAUACGGUGUGACGCCUGCCCGGUGCCGGAAGGUUAAUUGAUGGGGUCAGCGCAAGCGAAGCUCCUGAUCGAAGCCCCGGUAAACGGCGGCCGUAACUAUAACGGUCCUAAGGUAGCGAAAUUCCUUGUCGGGUAAGUUCCGACCUGCACGAAUGGCGUAAUGAUGGCCAGGCUGUCUCCACCCGAGACUCAGUGAAAUUGAACUCGCUGUGAAGAUGCAGUGUACCCGCGGCAAGACGGAAAGACCCCGUGAACCUUUACUAUAGCUUGACACUGAACAUUGAGCCUUGAUGUGUAGGAUAGGUGGGAGGCUUUGAAGUGUGGACGCCAGUCUGCAUGGAGCCGACCUUGAAAUACCACCCUUUAAUGUUUGAUGUUCUAACGUGGACCCGUUACCCGGGUUGCGGACAGUGUCUGGUGGGUAGUUUGACUGGGGCGGUCUCCUCCUAAAGAGUAACGGAGGAGCACGAAGGUUGGCUAAUCCUGGUCGGACAUCAGGAGGUUAGUGCAAUGGCAUAAGCCAGCUUGACUGCGAGCGUGACGGCGCGAGCAGGUGCGAAAGCAGGUCAUAGUGAUCCGGUGGUUCUGAAUGGAAGGGCCAUCGCUCAACGGAUAAAAGGUACUCCGGGGAUAACAGGCUGAUACCGCCCAAGAGUUCAUAUCGACGGCGGUGUUUGGCACCUCGAUGUCGGCUCAUCACAUCCUGGGGCUGAAGUAGGUCCCAAGGGUAUGGCUGUUCGCCAUUUAAAGUGGUACGCGAGCUGGGUUUAGAACGUCGUGAGACAGUUCGGUCCCUAUCUGCCGUGGGCGCUGGAGAACUGAGGGGGGCUGCUCCUAGUACGAGAGGACCGGAGUGGACGCAUCACUGGUGUUCGGGUUGUCAUGCCAAUGGCACUGCCCGGUAGCUAAAUGCGGAAGAGAUAAGUGCUGAAAGCAUCUAAGCACGAAACUUGCCCCGAGAUGAGUUCUCCCUGAGACUUAGAGUCUCCUGAAGGAACGUUGAAGACGACGACGUUGAUAGGCCGGGUGUGUAAGCGCAGCGAUGCGUUGAGCUAACCGGUACUAAUGAACCGUGAGGCUUAACCUU